CGCCCUAGGCUGGAGAAAGAGGAAACACGUUGGUCUGCGCACUCAGAGCCGAGUCAAAUGUGCAGGAAGAUUCCCCCAAACUGAAAGAAGGUCAACAGCAAAUUUGAGGCAGUGGAUAUGAGGAUAGAGGAGACACUCCUGAAGACUUCACUUUCUCCAUUUCUGUACUUGAAUUUUUACACCAAGCAUACAGCUUGAAAAAAUUAAAUGAGUAUGCAGUAUUUUAAAAAUCAACAAAAGCUUCACAUUUUAAUUUUCACUUGAAAAAAAAACAUGAGUGGUACUCAGCAGAACAACAACUAUAUCGUAUAAGCUGCAUCAGAGACAAAUGAAGAUGAAAAAACUAUCCUCCUAUAUAACUAAUCUGUGCUGUGCCCCAACAAAGCCUGCUUUAAAUUUCCGUGCCAAUUACAACCCCCAUUCUGUAUCAGGCAAGGGAAAGUGCAGCAGGAGGAACAAAAGUCUAAGAAGAAAUAAUGCAAAUAGCACUGAAUGGGGACUGGUGACUGCUAAAAGAAUUUUUUGGAGAGGAAACAUCAGUGAUACUUAGAAGAGAAACUCCAUGAUGGUCACUGGGUUGGUCACUGGAUACUCAGGCAGAUAGAGGGGGUAAAAAAAAAUUAAAAAGAACUUUGGCACAAAUUUCUGGAGGACCCAGUAACCCAUCAAGUUGGUUGGGAUAACAUAUUUAGAAGAGUUAAUCUAGGAUUAAUUUUAAAGAAGAAAAAGUAAUCUGAAUUUGGUAUGAUCCAUAAAUCCAGGUAAACUAGGAAAUACCCAUUCUCUUCUGGCCCACCUUCAAUCAUUUUUAAAGUGUAUUUUCCUAUUUACGAGGCUGGUCAAUCAUAAGCCAGAGAAGCUAAAUCUGUACAAGAGAAACCUCUCUUCUGUACUUGAUUUAUAAAAACAGAACAACUGCAAUCAAUAUUUGGACCCAAGUUAUGGGCUGUCUGCAUUGCCAAUACAUGGAUUAUGGAAGCCAAUAUUAUGCUGUUCAUUAUUAUUUUUUUAGAGGCAGAAUCUUGCUCUGUUGUCCAGGCUGGAGUGCAGUAGCAUGCUCAUAGCUCAA
rnacentral:lncRNA from 1 species